rnacentral:tRNA from 1 species
GGGAAUGUGGCUCAGUGGUAGAGAGCUUGCCUUGGGUGCAGAAGGCCCUGGGUUCAAUCCCCAGUGCUGCAA